CAGAAUUCGAAGGGAAGUCGUCGCGUAACCAUGGAUCUCUUACCAUUGCGAGUCCCUCUUCGAUGUUGCCAAGCCUUUACUUACGAAGGAAAGUACGCUAAUAUUAUAAAUAAUUUGCGCUCAUGGUCAGAUGCAUAACCGACCGAACAUCGGACAUUCAGCAUUUAGUAUUGUUCGGGUUUUAUUAUACGCAGCCGAGAACGAGAAAUCAUAAGCAAUAUUAUUAAUUUCAUGAAAAAAGAGGCAAAUGAAGGAGUUACUAUUCCUUUGAAAAAUUACAGGGAAAGAGUACUAGCUGCUAUUGGGGUGUCAAGGUCUACUUUUCAGAAGAUAUCAAUAGAAGCUCAAAAAGUUGAGUGGGGAGGGCCAAGCACAUCUUUUCAAUAGCCGACAAAAAAAAGGUAACACUAAAAAAAGAAAGCUGGAUCGUAUCUCGCCAGAUGAGAUAAAAUCUAUAAGAGAAUUUAUCUACGAUAUUUAUGUACUGGAGAAGAGACUUCCUACGUUAAAGUGUGUUUUGCAGAAAAUUAAUGACCGGCAAAUCUUGUCAGAAGCAAUAAGUAUAAGCAGCUUGAAUCGGCUCCUUAAAAAAAUUGGUUUCAGGUAA